rnacentral:rRNA from 1 species
AACUUUCAACAAUCGGAUCUCUUGGCUCUCACAUCGAUGAAGAACACGUGAAAUGUGAUAAGUAAUGUGAAUUGCAGAAUUCAUUGAAUCAUCGAAUCUCCGAACGCACCUUGCACCUCUUGGUAUCCCAAUAGGUACACCCGUGGAGUGUAU